GUAUUCUGCACGGACUGCUGGGCAGCACUAGCACUCUGGAGAAGGUCUGCCGCUGUCUGCACUUUCCUGGUGAGAAUCCCCAAUGACAGUCCCACUUUUCAGUGGAGGAGAACAAAAUAUCUGUCUACUCUCUUGAAGAAGGACACGGCUUUGAUCAUAUUUGUUCAGGCUUGACUUGGCCGGAGGUUUUAGGUUCUUAGUCUCAAGUCAGCAGUCUCUCUCUCUCUCUCUCUCUCUCUCUCUCUCUCUCUCUCUGAAACACACACACACAGAGACGCACACACACACAAGCACACACAUACACAAGCGCAAAUCCUCUCUUUCUCUUUCUCUCAUUUCCCGUCAUAGGUUCUAUGCAGGCAGAUGAGUGUCACAGCUGUAACUGAGGCACAGAGCAGUACACACAGUGGAGCCGAUUUCCGCGAUGGCGAGAGGGGGCACCGGAGGUGACAACAAUAACAAGACUGUCCUUCGGACAAGUUUUAGCGCUGAAUAUCUUCAGGAAAAUGGGUUCCAUGAGAAGUGACAUCCUCCUCGAAUCAAAAGAUUCUCAGGAUGAUGGAGUGAGUGAUGGAAUAGGUUGCCAACUGUAGUUACUCCACUCAGCACAGAAUGGCUGCGGGGAAAUAUAAUCAGACAUGCCCAAAGAAGUCUGCUUAGGGUGAAACAAAUACCUUUGAGGUUUAAAUCAGGAAGGAGAGACUGUUUCUACAGGUGUCAUACAAAAAUCAAUACUGAGCCAAGGAUUAUUGGAUCCCAUAGAACCACGGAGACUUGGUAGUGAAAUUCUUCCAAAGCAUUCCAUCCGUGCAGGCAGAUGGUGUUCCUAGGUUUGGAAAUAUAAAUCCCAUGGGAAGUCAGCUGAAGACCAUUUUAUGCAUCACUCAUCCUGUUAGAGCCCUGUGCUGUUCUGUCUCUCUAUAAGACUGGCUGAAACCACCACGGUUGUUUACAAUUUAUGCUCUAACUUUGGAUCACCUAGUUAAUACUCUAACUCCGAUUAUUACCAAAGACAAUGUUCUAUAAAAGAUAUUGUCUAUUAGAAGGAUGCUUCUGCAUUAUUAAUAAAAUCACAGGGAAAAUGCAACAUUUUGGAUGUCACAUCUGAUAAGUUGGCAGUUAAAGAACAGAAACAGCAAUAAGACUGCGUGGCUACAUUUUCCCAGUGCCACCAACUGGGAUUUAAGCUGACUAACAUUUUGAAAGCCCAGCCCAUUUCAUUCACAGCAGGAUGGCAGUGGGUGACUGAUCGUACCCGCCAGCUGGCUAAUGUCAUAAUUAACAAAGUUGCUACUACAUCUGCAAAGUUUAAUCGAAAAAUUUGCCAGUGAUAUGAUGGCCUUGUCACAGAGAUCACAAGGGACACGGAGUUGACUUUUGCUCAAGGUGGAACGACAGAGCUGUGUAGGCAAGAUGAGAAAUUGCGAACUUGUUCGGCCAAAGGAUUAUCUCCUGAGAUGUGUAGAAAUGAACUCUUGUCAGAGUUUCAAAGGAAUUAACGUUUUUUGGUAAAAUGUGCUAAUGUAAAGAGUGAGAAGAUUAGUGAUACAUAAUGAAAGCAAUGCAUUCUUUCACAUGGAAAUGGGAAUAUAAUAAAUGUCCUGCAGGUGAUUGGGGCUGUAGCAAUUUUAUUGAAGAUUAAAGUUUGAUUGACCUUUGUUAGGGUGAUUAACCCUUCUGAAAUUAAAAGCCAGAGCUGAAUUAUUCUGCUCAAUUUAAAUGCAAACAUCGAGCAGGUCGUAUGUCAUUCAAAUAAUAAUAAGAAGAAAAUCUUCCUAUUUUAAUUUUCAUUUUUGCACUUCUGAGUGGUAUGCUGCUUUAGAAGGACCAUAGCUCUCGCAAAAGCAUUCUGGUGGCAGAGAAUAUACAAUAACGUUACAGAUAAUUGGGAGCAUAUAGGAAGAGUCCCAAGCACUACUGCCUGCAUUCGAAACAUCAAAACCACCAUCCCAACAAAAGCACGGAGCAUGAAGCCAAUCUCUGUACACUGAAAAUGCAUGCUCCCAAUAGAAAAACAACCUAGGGAUGUCCUGAAGGGGUUAGGAAUAAAUAACAAUGACAUCUCUAUUCUAGUUCAGUGCCAACCACCGAAAUUGCAUAUCAUAUCCAUGUUAAAUCUACAUGAUGUCUCCUGGAAAUGCGUGCUUUUUGGUACAGUUGCUUAUGAAGCAGUUUCUAAAAGUUGAUUAUUUCUGAUGUCUGGAAUUUCAUUCUCCAUGAUCUCUGGCAGUUUCUGAAUAUAUUCAGUAUUUUCAUUAAGUUCAAAAAUGCUGUAGGAGAAGCUAACGAAUUAUUUGCAAUGCCAUUUAAUGGUUUAGUUUUAUUUUUCUCUGUUAAAUUUUCUAAGCCUUGGUGAAAAGUUGUGUAUUCACAUUUCUUCAAAAAACUGUUUCCAUUUUUCAUAUCAUGUUAAUUUUGUUUAGUUCUAAGUCAGUGAAUAUUUUUAGUCUUAGGUCCCACCACAUAGUGAAUGUGUCUGCCUUUUAUGUAUCUGUGAACUAUUAAAAUGAUAAUAAAGGUUCUCUUCCUUCCA
rnacentral:lncRNA from 1 species